UUUAAGAUUUGACCUGCCCUAUGAUUAUUUAAAUGGCCGCGGUAUAUUGACCGUGCAAAGGUAGCAUAAUCAUUAGUUUUUUAAUUGAAAGCUGGAAUGAAUGGUUUGACAAGAAAAUAUCUGUCUCUACUUUAUUUUUAGAAUUUUAUUUUUGAGUGAGAACGCUUAAAUGGAGUUAAGGGACGAGAAGACCCUUUAGAAUUUUAUGUGAUUAUAAGUUAAGAUUUAAGGUAAGAUUGGUUUAAGCUUAUGGAGUGCAUUUUGUUGGGGUGAUUGAAAAAUUUAAUAAACUUUUUUUUUAUUAAUACACUGAUUAGUGAUUGUUUGAUCCAUGUUUUAUGAUUAUAAGAUUAAAUUACCUAAGGGAUAACAGCGUUAUUAAUUCGUAGAGUUCUAAUUGAUGAAUUAGUUUGCGACCUCGAUGUUGGAUUAAAAU
rnacentral:rRNA from 1 species